UACGUAGGUGGCAAGCGUUGUCCGGAUUUACUGGGCGUAAAGAGCGCGCAGGCGGUCGUUCAAGUCGCGUGUGAAAGCCCCCGGCUCAACUGGGGAGGGUCACGCGAUACUGAUCGACUCGAAGGCAGGAGAGGGUAGUGGAAUUCCCGGUGUAGUGGUGAAAUGCGCAGAUAUCAGGAGGAACACCAAUUGCGAAGGCAGCUCGCUGGGACGUAACUGACGCUGAGACGCGAAAGCGUGGGGAGCAAACAGG
rnacentral:rRNA from 1 species